rnacentral:rRNA from 1 species
GAUGAACGCUGGCGGCGUGCCUAAUACAUGCAAGUCGAGCUAACGGACGAGAAGCUUGCUUUUCUGAUGUUAGCGGCGGACGGGUGAGUAACACGUGGAUAACCUACCUAUAAGACUGGGAUAACUUCGGGAAACCGGAGCUAAUACCGGAUAAUAUUUUGAACCGCAUGGUUCAAAAGUGAAAGACGGUCUUGCUGUCACUUAUAGAUGGAUCCGCGCUGCAUUAGCUAGUUGGUAAGGUAACGGCUUACCAAGGCAACGAUGCAUAGCCGACCUGAGAGGGUGAUCGGCCACACUGGAACUGAGACACGGUCCAGACUCCUACGGGAGGCAGCAGUAGGGAAUCUUCCGCAAUGGGCGAAAGCCUGACGGAGCAACGCCGCGUGAGUGAUGAAGGUCUUCGGAUCGUAAAACUCUGUUAUUAGGGAAGAACAUAUGUGUAAGUAACUGUGCACAUCUUGACGGUACCUAAUCAGAAAGCCACGGCUAACUACGUG